rnacentral:rRNA from 1 species
UAUGGCCAUACCACCCUGAACACUCCUGAUCUUGUCUGCUCUCAGAAGCUAAACAGGGCCAAGCCUGAUUAAUACUUGGAUGGGAGACAGAUCUUCAGAAGAGAUUGCUGGGGGGAAUGCCAUCA